GACGAACGCUGGCGGCGUGCUUAACACAUGCAAGUCGAACGGAAAGGCCCUGCUUUUGUGGGGUGCUCGAGUGGCGAACGGGUGAGUAACACGUGAGUAACCUGCCCUUGACUUUGGGAAACCUUCGGGAAAUUGGGGCAAAUCCCGGAUGGGACCUCUUUCUGCUUGUUGGGGGUGGGAAAUUUCCGGCGGUUGGGGAUGGACUCGCGGCUUAUCAGCUUGUUGGUGGGGUAGUGGCUUACCAAGGCUUUGACGGGUAGCCGGCCUGAGAGGGUGACCGGCCACAUUGGGACUGAGAUACGGCCCAGACUCCUACGGGAGGCAGCAGUGGGGAAUAUUGCACAAUGGGCGGAAGCCUGAUGCAGCAACGCCGCGUGCGGGAUGACGGCCUUCGGGUUGUAAACCGCUUUCGCCUGUGACGAAGCGUGAGUGACGGUAAUGGGUAAAGAAGCACCGGCUAACUACGUG
rnacentral:rRNA from 1 species